GUGGGGAAUUUUGGACAAUGGGCGCAAGCCUGAUCCAGCAAUGCCGCGUGUGUGAAGAAGGCCUUCGGGUUGUAAAGCACUUUUGUCCGGAAAGAAAUGGCCUGGGUUAAUACCCCGGGUCGAUGACGGUACCGGAAGAAUAAGCACCGGCUAACUACGUGCCAGCAGCCGCGGUAAUACGUAGGGUGCGAGCGUUAAUCGGAAUUACUGGGCGUAAAGCGUGCGCAGGCGGCGAUGCAAGACAGAUGUGAAAUCCCCGGGCUCAACCUGGGAACUGCAUUUGUGACUGCAUGGCUAGAGUGCGUCAGAGGGGGGUGGAAUUCCGCGUGUAGCAGUGAAAUGCGUAGAGAUGCGGAGGAACACCGAUGGCGAAGGCAGCCCCCUGGGAUGACACUGACGCUCAUGCACGAAAGCGUGGGGAGCAAACAGGAUUAGAUACCCCUGUAUCC
rnacentral:rRNA from 1 species